rnacentral:rRNA from 1 species
AGUCGAACGGAAGUCGUUAUAAAAAGGAUUGAAGAUUUAUCUGAUUGAGAUUUUAUAACAAUGGCUUUAGUGGCGGACUGGUGAGUAACGCGUGAGCAACCUGCCUACUAGAGGGGAAUAACAGUGAGAAAUCAUUGCUAAUACCGCAUAUGUCAUGAACAUCACAUGAUGAAAAUGGGAAAAGAGUAAUCUGCUAGUAGAUGGGCUCGCGUCUGAUUAGAUAGUUGGUGGGGUAACGGCCUACCAAGUCAACGAUCAGUAGCCGGACUGAGAGGUUGAACGGCCACAUUGGGACUGAGAUACGGCCCAGACUCCUACGGGAGGCAGCAGUCGGGAAUAUUGCGCAAUGGAGGAAACUCUGACGCAGUGACGCCGCGUAUAGGAAGAAGGUUUUCGGAUUGUAAACUAUUGUCGUUAGGGAAGAUACAAGACAGUACCUAAGGAGGAAGCUCCGGCUAACUACGUGCCAGCAGCCGCGGUAAUACGUAGGGAGCAAGCGUUAUCCGGAUUUAUUGGGUGUAAAGGGUGCGUAGACGGGACAACAAGUUAGUUGUGAAAUCCCUCGGCUUAACUGAGGAACUGCAACUAAAACUAUUGUUCUUGAGUGUUGGAGAGGAAAGUGGAAUUCCUAGUGUAGCGGUGAAAUGCGUAGAUAUUAGGAGGAACACCGGUGGCGAAGGCGACUUUCUGGACAAUAACUGACGUUGAGGCACGAAAGUGUGGGGAGCAAACAGGAUUAGAUACCCUGGUAGUCCACACCGUAAACGAUGGAUACU